UCAAAGUGAGCCGAUCUCACUCACUGUCAGACACUGCAGAGUGAGAAACAGAUGAUGGUUCUGUGGCAAACGUCCUUUUGCUGAAUAUUCUACCUACGGAAGAAGCAAAGAAGUCUAAGUUCUUUGGAGUAAGAUGCUCUCAAAUGCCUAGGAACACUGAUCUCCUAACUUGUCUUCCUGCUUUGAGUGUCCCUCUGAGGUUAAAGUUCCUGCCUCAGUCUCCAACAAUGACUAUAAGCCUCUCUGGGCAAGAUCCACGUCUUACUCAUUUUUGUGUCUGCAGUUUAGUUCCUGGUUCAUUGUAGGUUCUCAAUAAACGUUUGUUAGAAUGAGUUGAUCUCUUGGAUCCAGUGCCCCAGAAAGAUAUGUCAUUUCCACUGCUGCCCACUGAGGAGUGCCACUGGAGAUGAUCUCACAACAAAGAGAGGGGGAGAGGUCAGGAACUAACAUCUAUUUUGUAGUUACCACUGUGGUAUGGUUUGCAACAUGGCUCUGUAACCCUCAGGAUCCCUACCAGAUAUUUUCAUCUAUUCCCUUAUUCUCCUCAGGUCCCUGGCCCUCCCCUUUCCUCUGUGCUCUCAGCAGCUGACCUUGUCUUUUCCUUUACUGAGAGUAGAGGCACCUCUUACAAAUACUCUGGCCUCUGCCUGGACUGACUGGGCUAAAUUGUCUCCGAAGAUGGCCACCAACCAUUCCUCCCACCUGUCUGCAUGCAGGCUGCUCCUCCCGUCAGAAGAUGGAGACUGCUUCCUUGCCCUUCAAUCCAAGCUGGCUCAUGACUUGCUUCAAUGAAUAGGAAAUGGCAGAAGUGAUGCUCUGAGGCUUCUGGGCCUAGACUUUAAGAGGUGUUGCCCCUUUCCUUUUUCCCUCUUGGGAUCCAGCCUACCACAUAGAGAAGUUUGGGUUGACAACUAAAUGUGAGAGAGAGACAGACAGAGAGAAGAGGGAGAGCUGAUUCAGCUAGACCUUAGUCAUUCCAGCCAUCCUAGCUGAAGCACUAGCAUGUGAAAGAAGCCACCUUCUAACCUAUCAAUCAGAGCCCCCAAUUUUACUGACCUCAGUCAACACCAUGUGGAACAGAACUACCCCAGGGAGCCCAACCAACCCAUACAAUCAUGAGAAAUUAAAAACUGAUGUUGUAGCCUCCUGAGUUUUAAGGUAGUUUGUUACACAAAAAUACUGGAAUUUUGACCCACCUUCACCUCCAAUGCCAACCUAGUAAACCUGGAUAUAUCUUUCAAAAUUUGGCUCAAGUGUCAACUCUUUCAUGAACCCUCUGUAUCCUUUUCUUGCUCAUUCAAGCCCUAUUUUCUCUUCUCCUCCCCAAAAUUCCAUAGUACUUUGUAUUACAAACUAUGUGCUUACAACCCCCAAAGUCUCUGGGCAUCCAGAAGGCAGAGAUUUGGCUUAAUUCAUUUUUGCCUCUGCCUAGCCUAACACCCGGCACAUUUAGAUAUUUAGUUAUUGUUUGCUGAAUGAAUGGAUGCAUGAAGAAGAAAAUUUAACAGAUGAUAUCUACAGGCACAUCUGGCUCCAAAAUUGAAUCAUGUCAUCUAGCAAUGCUCAGUAAAGUUAACAUAAGCAAUUUC
rnacentral:lncRNA from 10 species